GAUGAACGCUGGCGGCGUGCUUAACACAUGCAAGUCGAACGAUGAAGCCCAGCUUGCUGGGUGGAUUAGUGGCGAACGGGUGAGUAACACGUGAGUAACCUGCCCUUAACUCUGGGAUAAGCCUGGGAAACUGGGUCUAAUACCGGAUAGGAGCGUCCACCGCAUGGUGGGUGUUGGAAAGAUUUAUCGGUUUUGGAUGGACUCGCGGCCUAUCAGCUUGUUGGUGAGGUAAUGGCUCACCAAGGCGACGACGGGUAGCCGGCCUGAGAGGGUGACCGGCCACACUGGGACUGAAGCACGGCCCAGACUCCUACGGGAGGCAGCAGUGGGGAAUAUUGCACAAUGGGCGAAAGCCUGAUGCGGCGACGCCGCGUGAGGGAUGACGGCCUUCGGGUUGUAAACCUCUUUCAGUAGGGAAGAAGCGAAAGUGACGGUACCUGCAGAAGAAGCACCGGCUAACUACGUG
rnacentral:rRNA from 1 species